UACGGGGGGAGCAAGCGUUGUUCGGAUUUACUGGGCGUAAAGGGCGCGUAGGCGGUCAGCACAAGUCAGUUGUGAAAUCUCCGGGCUUAACUCGGAAAGGUCAACUGAUACUGUGCGACUAGAGUGCAGAAGGGGCAACUGGAAUUCUCGGUGUAGCGGUGAAAUGCGUAGAUAUCGGGAGGAACACCAGUAGCGAAGGCGGCACUCUGGGCCGGAACUGACGCUGAGGAGCGAAAGCGUGGGUAGCAAACAGG
rnacentral:rRNA from 1 species